GGGCGUAAGGGCGCGCAGGUGGUUUCUUAAGUCUGAUGUGAAAGCCCCCGGCUCAACCGGGGAGGGUCAUUGGAAACUGGGAGACUUGAGUGCAGCAUAGGAGAGUGGAAUUCCAUGUGUAGCGGUGAAAUGCGUAGAGAUGUGGAGGAACACCAGUGGCGAAGGCGACUCUCCGGUCUGUAACUGACACUGAGGAGCGAAAGCGUGGGGAGCGAACAGGAUUAGAUACCCUGGUAGUCCACGCCGUAAACGAUGAGUGCUAAGUGUUAGAGGGUUUCCGCCCUUUAGUGCUGCAGUUAACGCAUUAAGCACUCCGCCUGGGGAGUACGGGCGCAAGGCUGAAACUCACAGGAAUUGACGGGGGCCCGCACAAGCGGUGGAGCAUGUGGUUUAUUUCUAAUCAACGCCAUGAACCUUACCAUGUCUUGACAUCCUCUGA
rnacentral:rRNA from 1 species